rnacentral:misc_RNA from 1 species
UAACAAGGUCUCCGUUGGUGAACCAGCGGAGGGAUCAUUACUGAGUACUACACUCUCUACCCUUUGUGAACUAUUAUACCUGUUGCUUCGGCGGCGCCCGCAAGGGUGCCCGCCGGUCUCAUCAGAAUCUCUGUUUUCGAACCCGACGAUACUUCUGAGUGUUCUUAGCGAACUGUCAAAACUUUUAACAACGGAUCUCUUGGCUCCAGCAUCGAUGAAGAACGCAGCGAAACGCGAUAUGUAAUGUGAAUUGCAGAAUUCAGUGAAUCAUCGAAUCUUUGAACGCACAUGGCGCCUUCCAGUAUCCUGGGAGGCAUGCCUGUCCGAGCGUCGUUUCAACCCUCGAGCCCCUGUGGCCCGGCGUUGGGGAUCUGCCACGGCAGGCCCCUAAAACCAGUGGCGGACCCGAAGGGCCCUCUCCUUUGCGCAGUAGCAUUCGCCUCGCAUCGGGAGUCCUCGGCGUCCUGCCUCUAAACCCCCCACAAGCCCGCUUCGGCGGCACCAAGGUUGACCUCGGAUCAGGUAGGAAUACCCGCUGAACUUAAGC